AGGGGAAAGUCACAUGAGG
rnacentral:piRNA from 1 species